rnacentral:rRNA from 1 species
AACGAACGCUGGCGGCAUGCCUAACACAUGCAAGUCGAACGAGACCUUCGGGUCUAGUGGCGCACGGGUGCGUAACGCGUGGGAACCUGCCCUUAGGUUCGGAAUAACUCCCCGAAAGGGGUGCUAAUACCGGAUAAUGUCUUCGGACCAAAGAUUUAUCGCCUUUGGAUGGGCCCGCGUUGGAUUAGCUAGUUGGUAGGGUAAAAGCCUACCAAGGCGACGAUCCAUAGCUGGUCUGAGAGGAUGAUCAGCCACACUGGGACUGAGACACGGCCCAGACUCCUACGGGAGGCAGCAGUGGGGAAUAUUGGAGAAUGGGCGAAAGCCUGAUCCAGCAAUGCCGCGUGAGUGAGGAAGGCCUUAGGGUUGUAAAGCUCUUUUACCCGGGAUGAUAAUGACAGUACCGGGAGAAUAAGCUCCGGCUAACUCCGUG